CGCCCGUCGCUCCUACCGAUUGGGUGUGCUGGUGAAGUGUUCGGAUUGACGGCUCGGGACGGUUUCCGCCCCCUGCCGCCGAGAAGUUCAUUAAACCCUCCCACCUAGAGGAAGGAGAAGUCGUAACAAGGUUUCC
rnacentral:rRNA from 1 species